GCGCCUGUAGCUCAAUUGGAUAGAGCGUCGGACUUCGGAUCCGAUGGUUGCGGGUUCAAGUCCUGCCAGGCGCG
rnacentral:tRNA from 1 species